ensembl:snRNA U6 U6 spliceosomal RNA
GUGUUCACUUCGGCAGCACAUACGCUAAAAUUGGAACUAUACAGAGAUCAGCAAGGCCCCUGCGCAAAGAUGAUAUGCAAAUUCAUAAAGCGUCCAUAUUAAUA